rnacentral:rRNA from 1 species
AACGAACGCUGGCGGCAUGCUUAACACAUGCAAGUCGAACGUGAUCCGGGGUUUCGGCCCUGGUGAAAGUGGCGGACGGGUGAGUAACGCGUGGGAACCUGCCUGGUGGUAGGGGAUAACCGCGGGAAACUGCGGCUAAUACCCUAUGAGUCCCUGGACUUGCUCCGGGGGGAAAGAUUUAUCGCCAUCGGAGGGGCCCGCGUCGGAUUAGGUGGUUGGUGGGGUAAAGGCCUACCAAGCCUGCGAUCCGUAGCUGGUCUGAGAGGAUGAUCAGCCACACUGGGACUGAGAUACGGCCCAGACUCCUACGGGAGGCAGCAGUGGGGAAUAUUGGACAAUGGGCGCAAGCCUGAUCCAGCAAUGCCGCGUGAGUGAAGAAGGCCUUAGGGUUGUAAAGCUCUUUCGGCGGGGACGGAUGAUGACGGUACCCGCAGAAGAAGCCCCGGCUAACUCCGUGCCAGCAGCCGCGGUAAUACGGAGGGGGCUAGCGUUGUUCGGAAUUACUGGGCGUAAAGGGCGCGUAGGCC